UACGGAAGGCAGCAGUGGGGAAUAUUGCACAAUGGGCGAAAGCCUGAUGCAGCUAUGCCGCGUGUAUGAAGAAGGCCUUAGGGUUGUAAAGUACUUUCAUCGGGGAGGAAAAACAAAACUAAUAAUUUUAUUUCUUGACGUUACCCGAAAAAGAAGCACCGGCUAACUCCGUGCCAGCAGCCGCGGUAAUACGGAGGGUGCUAGCGUUAAUCAGAAUUACUGGGCGUAAAGAGCACGUAGGUGGUUUUUUUAAGUCAGAUGUGAAAUCCCUGGGCUUAACCUAGGAACUGCAUUUUGAAACUGAAAUACUAGAGUAUCGUAGAGGGAGGUAGAAUUCUAGGUGUAGCGGUGAAAUGCGUAGAUAUCUGGAGGAAUACCUGUGGCGAAAGCGGCCUCCUAAACGAAUACUGACACUGAGGGUGCGAAAGCGUGGGGAGCAAACGAGGGAUUAGAUA
rnacentral:rRNA from 1 species